rnacentral:rRNA from 1 species
AGAGUAAUGGUGAUCGUCUUAGCAAAUGCGUAGGGGGAGUGCGCUAAACAAAUCUAAUAAUGUAAGAGGUGUGUGGGGUGGGCAACGAUCUAUUCAACCCAGUUUUCUCUAGUUUGGCAGUCUAAGUUAAUGUGCCAGCUGACGCGGUUAUUCAUAGUGCCUAAGUGUUUGGGGGUGUAGAGUAGUGCCUCUUACACUCGCUUCGGUGGAGAUGUGGGUACAAUUAUUCUAAUAGUGUGAGAGGUUAUUGGUUUAGGGUAGUAAAACGGAUUAGGUACCCGUGUAGCCCGUAGCCAAGGUGGUGGCUGGAAAGGUGGAGCAAGCAUAAAAAAAAUCACUAGGCAGCAGUAGGGGGGUGAAUAGGGGAACCUGUGUGGUGCGCUUCGAUAAUCCUCGUUUUUAUUAAGCUCUCCUGUUUGGUAGUGUAUGUCCGUUUGGAGGAAGUAGUUCAAUACGGUUAGCAUUAGCCUCUUGAUCGUGUGAUCCAAUUCAGGUCAACAUGCUCCUGUGGAGAGGGGACGCAUGGGUUACAGUUCGUUAUAGGAGUGGACUCUCUGAAAAAGGACUUAUAAGUAAAGUUUAAUAGGUGAAGUAAAUUUGAAUGAACCCCCUUGGGCACUUACUGCCCGCUAGGUUAUGGGAAGUGAGGUUUAGCUUACCUUCUUGAUAAUUAAGGCGUAACAUGGUAGCCCAUCUAGAAAGAUGGGCUGGAUAGGGAGAGGGG